CGGAUGAUGCCAGCCCAGCCAUGAUCUGUUGACAACAUGAGAGACUUGAAGUGAGAUCAGAAGAAGCACUGCCCUGCGGAGCCCAGCCGGCCCACAGCCCCGUGAGAGAUAACAGGAGGGCAGCUUGGGGUGGCUCCUUAUGCGGCAACAGGUAGCUCUUCAGCCCCGGAGCUGGGCGGGCCUGGAGCUGAGGGACCCACCCCCUUCCAGUGCCGGAGGCCUGGGAUUGGCAAGCCCCUUCCUCUUCUCAGUAACAGACAACCCACCUGGUCCGGCCCCCGCUGUUCUCCAAAGACAGGUCUGUUGGAACACUUCCUGCAGGCUGGAAUUGAAGGAAUGAAGAAGGAGGGGCAUUCUAUCCCUGUCUCAUAAAAAAGC
rnacentral:lncRNA from 1 species